UACAGAGGUCUCAAGCGUUGUUCGGAUUCAUUGGGCGUAAAGGGUGCGUAGGUGGCGCGGUAAGUCGGGUGUGAAAUUUCGGAGCUUAACUCCGAAACUGCAUUCGAUACUGCCGUGCUUGAGGACUGGAGAGGAGACUGGAAUUUACGGUGUAGCGGUGAAAUGCGUAGAUAUCGGGAGGAACACCAAUGGCGAAGGCAGCUCGCUGGGACGGUACUGACGCUGAGGUGCGAAAGCGUGGGGAGCGAACAGG
rnacentral:rRNA from 1 species